GACGAACGCUGGCGGCGUGCUUAACACAUGCAAGUCGAACGGAAAGGCCCUGCUUUUGUGGGGUGCUCGAGUGGCGAACGGGUGAGUAACACGUGAGUAACCUGCCCUUGACUUUGGGAUAACUUCAGGAAACUGGGGCUAAUACCGGAUAGGAGCUCCUGCUGCAUGGUGGGGGUUGGAAAGUUUCGGCGGUUGGGGAUGGACUCGCGGCUUAUCAGCUUGUUGGGGGGGUAGUGGCUUACCAAGGCUUUGACGGGUAGCCGGCCUGAGAGGGUGACCGGCGACAUGGGGACUGAGAUACGGCCCAGACGCGUACGGUAGGCAGCAGGGGGGAAUAUUGCACAACGGGCGGAAGCCUGAUGCAGAAACGCCGCGUGCGGGAUGACGGCCUUCGGGUUGUAAAACGCUUUCGCCUGUGACGAAGCGUGAGUGACGGUAAUGGGUAAAGAAGCACCGGCUAACUACGUG
rnacentral:rRNA from 1 species